rnacentral:rRNA from 1 species
AACGAACGCUGGCGGCAUGCCUAACACAUGCAAGUCGAACGAGACCUUCGGGUCUAGUGGCGCACGGGUGCGUAACGCGUGGGAACCUGCCCUUAGGUUCGGAAUAACUCCCCGAAAGGGGUGCUAAUACCGGAUAAUGUCUUCGGACCAAAGAUUUAUCGCCUUUGGAUGGGCCCGCGUUGGAUUAGCUAGUUGGUAGGGUAAAAGCCUACCAAGGCGACGAUCCAUAGCUGGUCUGAGAGGAUGAUCAGCCACACUGGGACUGAGACACGGCCCAGACUCCUAGGGAGGGGCGGAGGGGGGAAUUUUGGACAGUGGGGGAAGGCAUGAUCCCCCAAGGCCGGGAAAGUGAUGAAGGUCUUAGGGUUGUAAAGCUUUUUUACCCGGGAUGGUAAUGACGUUACCGGGAGAAUAAACCCCGGCUAACUCCGU